UGACACGAUAAAUGCGGAGAAUGAGUAGCCACUGCACCUUGCCCUGGGCCAUCAGUGAGAAGAUCUGCUCUUAGUAGAGCCCUGCUUUCCCGCUGAAGGCCCUGAAAUCCCCUGUGUUCCAGGCCACCCACUAAGGAUCAAUAAAGCUCCCCUGAUGUGGGGGAAUCAGCUCAAGUGGUAGAGCGCUUGCUUAGCAUGCAAGAGGUAGUGGGAUCGAUGCCCACAUUCUCCAAACUUUAUUAUUUAGACCCUGGGUCUCCAAACACUCAGGUCUCCAAACCCAAGUCAGAGAACAAGAUGCUGCUUUGGUUCAAGACGUAGGAGCAGCAACAAUACAGGGCUGGUGACGGCUCCCUCCUGGCAUUCAGUAUAGUGUAGAUCUACCGUGUAAUUAAUUUUCUGCUUCUUUGAGGAGCUGUGAAACCAAGGGACAUAAACAAUUGCUCUUUUCUCCCUGUUUCUGCCUGUAGCUUGAAUGUGAGGCAACUGUGAAAAGUGCAGGGCAGAGCCACCUGGGUAAUACAGCCCUGGCUUUCUGGUGAGAGGACUGAAACCAGGAUGUGUCAAGUAACUAGAAUGUGCCUGGACAGAUACUGUAGAAAGCAAACACAUAAAGUUGUUCAUGAGCUUGUGGACGCACCUGCCAGCUGUGAAUAAGUAGCCCUAAUUCCAAACAACUUACCUAAAAAGAGCCUGAGGACUGAACUGAACAAUGGUCCACUUUCCAGUCCUCACUGACCACUGGUUGCACACACUCCAGAGAUCUCUCAACCGCAGUGUCAAGGCUUUCAAAUAGAGUUAUCUGUGAAACAACAACACAUGGAAGUCUGGUUGGUACUUGGAGCUUAAAUACAAGGCAAUUGUGUGCCUGCAAAAACAAAAAUAGCAAUAUUAUCCUUAAGAUUUCAACAAGACACAGUGUCUCAUCACAUAAUCCAAAGAAGUCCAGGUUACAAGCCCCAAAAUAUUCAGCAUUAUGAAAAACCAGGGAGAUCUUAAUUCACAUGGCAAAGAGAAUCCUUGAAUAACAAUAUUGAGAGGACACAUAUGUCAAAAUCAUCUGACACACACAUUAAAGCAGUUAUUAUAACAAUGCUCCUAGAAUUACGGGAUAGCAUUCAUGAAGUGAAUGGAAAGUUGGAAAGUCUCACCAAAUAUUUGGAAUAUGUAAACACCAAUUUAAACUUAAGAAUUAAAAAAAGUAUUAACCAAAACUCUUAGGGGAAAUAAAAAGCUUAAUUGGAUGAUCUCAAUAGCAGUAUGCAGAAGACUAAGGAAAAAGUCAAUGAACUUGAAAACGGAACAAGAAUACCUACAGAAUCUGACCUAUAGAAAGAAAGGAGGAUUUUAUUGUCCCUGAACAGACGCUCAGGGACAAAUAAAAAAUAACAAAUCUAACAUUCACAUUAUUGUAAUCUGGAAACAUUCACAUUAUUGUAAGAGGACAAAGAGGUCUUUGUGGGAUAAAACUGUGAAGAAUUAAUGGCUGAAAAUAUAUCAAAUUUCUCAAAAGAUAUAAACCAGAUUUUUAAAGUUCAGUAAAUGUCAAGCAGGAUAAACCAAAAGAAACCCAUUGCAAGACAUAUCGUAAUCAAACUGCGGAAAAUCAAGAAAACACAAAACAAUUUUGAAAGAAGCCAAAGGGAAAUGAAAGAUAAAAUACCAAAUGAAUGAUUGUAGAUUUCUCAUCUGGAACCCAGGAGCCAGAAAAAAAUGUCAUAACAUUCAGUAAAUACCAAAGGAAAAAUACAUUAUCAAUCCAGAAUGGUAUGUGGAGCAAAAGUAUCUUCCAGACUUAAAGGCAAAUAAAUACAUUCUCAUUGGAAGGUAAAUAAAUACAUUCUCAGUCCUAGCAAAACUGCUGGAAAAGAAUUAGCAAAGCUUUGAGAUAAGAAAAGUGAUACCAGAAGGAAACUUAGAACAUCAUCAAUGAAGGAACAAAAGCAGAAAUAGAAAAUGUCUGGG
rnacentral:lncRNA from 1 species